rnacentral:rRNA from 1 species
CACGUAGGGCGCGAGCGUUGUCCGGAAUUAUUGGGCGUAAAGAGCUCGUAGGCGGCCUGUUGCGUCCGCUGUGAAAGCCCGGGGCUUAACCCCCGGGGUCGGCAGUGGAUACGGGGCAGGCUAGAGGUAGGUAGGGGAGAAUGGAAUUCCCGGUGUAGCGGUGAAAAUGCGCAGAUAUCGGGAGGAACACCGGUGGCGAAGGCGGGUUCU